GGGGGCGUGGCUCAGUGGUAGAGCAUCUGCUUGCCAUGCAGGUCCCAGGUUCAAUCCCCGGCGUCUCCA